UUUUACCUUGCUAAGCUUCUGAUUUAUAUGUCAUGAAAUAAAUUGAGUUUUAGUAAUGUAGGGAAUUAAAAAGGUAAGCUUAAGUUUCUAAUGAACCUUCCAAAUAAAAAAUCUCAUAUAGCCAUUGCCUGGCACAUUAUAUACACUGAAUAAAUGGUAGCCACAAUUGUCAUUAUUGGGACAUUCUAUACAGUUUUUCAUCAGGGAAGCAAUCUGACCACACAAUGGAGACAAAACAGAGAUAUUUAAUUUUGGAAUCAGUGCUACUGAAGGAAGAUAUUUCAAUAUUUAUUAGAGUUGUUCAAUCAGAACCAUAAGCUGAUGGAUAUAGAAGAGGCUACAAAAUUCUAACUUAUGAUUAUUGUUAUGCUCUAUUGGAUUCAGCAUUGAGCAUUUCUAGAUUUUCAUUGCUUAUCAUAUUAUAAAGAUCCUUUCUUUAAAAAAAUCCUAUAUUCAAAAUUUUAUUGAACAUCCUCCUAUGUUGUAAAACAGGGCAGGAAAUAUUCUAUACAUCAUAGUAAAAUAGAUUGGUAUGUCAUGGUUCAUCAUUUUUCAAUUUCACUUGGGCAGUCUAAUUACUAAGACUCUUAAAAAAACAUAUCUAUUCCUCAGUAGGUAUAUAAUGAAAACAUAAGAUUUUUAUGGCUCUAUAGUUUUCAAACCUUUAUCUUCUCGGUGUAGUCUGUUUUCAUUUUCAAAGAUAUACGAUUUGUCAGUAAUUUACAGGCUUCAGGGUUUAUAAGCAAAAUUACAAUUGCACUCAAAAUUGCACUAUGAAAAACUUUUUAUCUGUUCUUUUACAACAUUUCCUGAGAAUUGCUGGCCAAAGUUUAAGAAUUCUCUAGCUCUCUGCCACCAAAAUUUAGGGUUCUAUGGGAUAUGAGAGAAGUGAACAUAAUAAACACAUGGGCAGAUUAAGCACAAUGGAAAGGUAACUCCACGUGGAUGCUUUAGGACUCAGCUCAAAUAAGAAUGGCUUGUGUCCUCAGGUAGAAUAGCCAACUGCCUUUACAUUUACUUCUCACUCAACCAGGCCUUACUUCCAGUCAGGCUCACAUUAUGCUUAUUUGAGUGGAUGUUUUUACACACUUCAAGAUUGUGAAUUUUUCAAGAACUGGACUGCAGAACCCAACAUAAUGCUUUCAUAUAUUCAUUCACAUGUUCACACAUGUUUUUUGAGGCAGUAUUACAUGCCUAGCUAAGAUACAGAGUUUUAAAAAAGACCCUUUUUUUGGUAAAGGAUCUUAUAAUAAUAUCUUGUCAUAUCUUGAUAUAACAAAUACCAUGAGUU
rnacentral:lncRNA from 1 species